rnacentral:rRNA from 1 species
UACAGAGGUCUCAAGCGUUGUUCGGAUUCAUUGGGCGUAAAGAGCGCGUAGGCGGCCCUGUAAGUCCGCUGUGAAAGUCAAGGGCUCAACCCUUGAAUGCCGGUGGAUACUGGAGAGCUAGAGUCCGGAAGAGGUGAGUGGAACUGCGAGUGUAGAGGUGAAAUUCGUAGAUAUUCGCAAGAACACCAGUGGCGAAGGCGGCUCACUGGUCCGGUACUGACGCUGAGGUGCGAAAGCGUGGGGAGCAAACAGG